rnacentral:ncRNA from 2 species
AUUCGUUCUCAGGGCGGGGCGAAAUUCCCCACCGGCGGUAUGCGGGCAUGACCCGUAAGCCCGCGAGCGGCCCCGCCUUCGGGGUGACAAGCAGAUCUGGUGAGAGGCCAGAGCCGACGGUUACAGUCCGGAUGGAAGAGAACGUGC